rnacentral:rRNA from 1 species
GACGAACGCUGGCGGCGUGCCUAAUACAUGCAAGUCGAACGCAGUGGGGACGGGUGAGUAACACGUGGGUAACCUCCCAUCAGAGGGGAUCACACUUGGAAACAGGUGCUAAACCGAUACUGAUGGCUGACCCCGCGGUGCAUUAGCUAGUGGGUGAGGUAACGGCUCACCAAGGCCACGAUGCAUAGCCGACCGGAGAGGGGGAGAGGCAAAACUGGGACUGAGACACGGCCCAGACUCAUAAGGGAGGCAGAAGUAGGGAAUCUUCGGAAAUGGACGAAAGUCUGACCGAGCAACGCCGCGUGAGUGAAGAAGGUUGUCGGAUCGUAAAACUCUGUUGUUAGAGAAGCGGUAUCUAACCAGAAAGCCACGGCUAACUACGUGCCAGCAGCCGCGGUAAUUC